UUGCAGCCAAUUAAGCCAACUGUGCUCUUUUCCCCAUAGGGACCCAGUACGCAAACAGCAGCCUUCUAGGUAGUGUAUUCAACUGGUUGCUUGUGCAGGUUGCUGUACGGUAUCUUAAAGACAACU
rnacentral:snoRNA from 1 species